rnacentral:rRNA from 1 species
AUGGCUCCUCCACGCCGCCCCCCUCCUUCCCGGCCCGCUAACCACGCCGUGUUCCUCCUCCUCGCCGCGGCCACCCUGGUCGGGCCCGCCGUCGGGGUGGAGAUCCUCUCCAAGUCCCGCCUGGAGCGCUGCGCCCUGGACUCGGGGGCCGGCAGCGCCCUGGCCUGCGACCGCAAGCUCGUCCUCAACCUCGCCGUCCCCAGCGGCUCCAGCGGCGGCGAGUCGUCGCUGGUGGCGCAGGUGGUGGAGGUCGAGGAGAACGAUGCGCAGGCGAUGCAGACGGUGCGGGAUCCCCCCGUCAUCACCAUUAACAAGUCCGCCGUCUACGCGCUCUACCCCAUCAACUACAUGAGGGAUGUUGCUUAUAAACCAGAGGAAAUGUUUACUAGGACACAUAAAUGUGAGUCAGAUGCUGGUGCUGAUGUUGUUGGAGUUUGUGAAAGCUUCCUUGCAGUUGAUAAAAUGAUUAAAGGCAAAGCUAAUACGGCUCACUGUGUACGUUUUCCAGGUGAUUGGUAUCAUGUUUUUGGAAUUAAGAAAAGUUUUACUGGGUACAGCAUCAGAGUACAAGUAAAGAAAGGCUCUUCUGUAACGGAGGUUAUUGUUAGUCCAGAGAAUAAAACAGUUGUUUCUAAAGAUAACUUUCUGAGGGUAAAUCUCAUUGGUGACUUUGCUGGUUACAAUAGUAUGCCAACAUUUGAAGACUUCUAUCUUGUGAUUCCACGGAAGGGUGGUGGUGACGGUCACCCGCAAGUUCUUGGCGAUGAGUUUUCCAGGUGGAUGUUGUUGGAGAGAGUCCGGUUUACAUUAGAUGGACUUGAGUGCAACAAGAUUGGUGUUGGGUAUGAAGCUUACAGAAACCAGCCUAACCUCUGUGGAUCACCAUUUGGGAGCUGUUUGUACAAUCAGCUUUGGAAUUUCAAGGAGUCUGACGACAAUCGAAUAAACAGAAACCAAGAGCCCCAGUAUAUUGUGCAGGGAAGAUUUGAUAGGAUCAACCAACACCCGAAUGCAGGAGCUCAUUCAUUCUCUAUUGGAAUCACAGAACCUCUGAAUACUAAUUUGCUGAUAGAGCUGAGUGCUGAUGAUAUAAACUAUGUAUACCAGAGGAGUCCAGGGAAAAUAAUUGACAUUAAUGUCCCUACAUUUGAAGCCUUAAGCCAAGUUGGUACUGCCAAGGUCACAAUUAAGAACAUUGGCAAACUGGAAGCUUCAUAUAGCUUGACAUUCGACUGCUUAAGUGGCAUCAGUUAUGUGGAGGAGCAAUUCUUCAUCAUCAAACCUGGCCAAGUGGUUAUCCGCUCAUUCUAUUUGCGUUCCUCAUCAGACCAAGCAUCAAAAUAUCGCUGCUCGGCUAUUUUGAAAGCGUCAGAUUUCAGUGAACUUGACAGAGCAGAGUGCCAAUUCUCUACUACAGCCACAGUUCUUGACAAUGGAACACAGAUCGGCCCACCGAAGCAGCAUAAGAAGGGUGGCAUCAGGGGUUUCAUCGAAGCCAUCGAAACCUUGUGGCGCAACACGUGGGACAGCGUGAUCGAUUUCUUCACCGGCAGAUCAUGCAGCACCAAGUGCUCGAGCUUCCUGGACCUGAGCUGCCACAUCCAGUACAUAUGCAUCGGCUGGCUCGUCAUGUUCGGCCUGCUGCUCACCACGCUACCCGCAGUCGCGGUGCUGCUGUGGCUGCUCCACCAGAAGGGCAUGUUCGACCCGCUGUACGACUGCUGGGACGACGUGUUCGGGCUGCCAGAGGCCGCGCACCAGAAGCGCCGGGGAGGCCGAGGCCACCACGAGCACGCCCACACCCACCACCGUCACCACCACAGUAAGCACCCGCACGCGCACAAGAAGCACAGGAGCGGGGCGCCCAGCCAGCACCACCACCACGUUCUCCACAGGCACGCGGCGGCCGACGGCGGUGAGCGGCACCGGCAUGCAGGGGCGCUCGGCGUGCAGCACAGGGACGCCGGGCACAAGCACCACCGCCACGGCAAGGCGCCGCAGAGGGAGAGGGAUGAUGGCCGCGGCACGGAGUACAAGGAGCAGCGUGGGCACCAUGAGAGGCACGGCGGGGGCGAGGGCCGCCACCACUCCCGGGCGGCGUAG